AGUGAACGCUGGCGGUAGGCCUAACACAUGCAAGUCGAACGGCAGCACAGUAAGAGCUUGCUCUUACGGGUGGCGAGUGGCGGACGGGUGAGGAAUACAUCGGAAUCUACUUUUUCGUGGGGGAUAACGUAGGGAAACUUACGCUAAUACCGCAUACGACCUACGGGUGAAAGCAGGGGAUCUUCGGACCUUGCGCGAUUGAAUGAGCCGAUGUCGGAUUAGCUAGUUGGCGGGGUAAAGGCCCACCAAGGCGACGAUCCGUAGCUGGUCUGAGAGGAUGAUCAGCCACACUGGAACUGAGACACGGUCCAUCCUCCUACGGGAGGCAGCAGUGGGGAAUAUUGGCCAAUGGGCGCAAGCCUGAUCCAGCCUUACCGCGUGGGUGAAGAAGGCCUUCGGGUUGUAAAGCCCUUUUGUUGGGAAAGAAAAUCAGCAGGUUAAUUCACCGCUGUUCUGACGGUACCCAAAGAAUAAGCACCGGCUAACUUCGUG
rnacentral:rRNA from 1 species